AAGAACCUGAAACCGUGUACGUACAAGCAGUGGGAGCACAGGUUUACCUGUGUGACUGCGUACCUUUUGUAUAAUGGGUCAGCGACUUAUAUUCUGUAGCAAGGUUAACCGUAUAGGGGAGCCGCAGGGAAACCGAGUCUUAACCGGGCGUUAAGUUGCAGGGUAUAGACCCGAAACCCGGUGAUCUAGCCAUGGGCAGGUUGAAGGUUGGGUAACACUAACUGGAGGACCGAACCGACUAAUGUUGAAAAAUUAG
rnacentral:rRNA from 1 species